AAUAACGACCCCUUUAGGUUUAAAAGUAGUACUUCACUGCCAUGCACAUAAAGUGAAGAGCAUUAAACCAUAAUUUUCAGCAAUCCAAAUUACAGAGCAGCCAGACCAGUUGGAUAUUGGCUUUCAUGUUACCACUAUGAGCUUGAGAAACAAGUCAUUCAUUCGAAUAUCUAAAUAAAAGAGCAAAUACUAUCCAGAAAACUAUCUUCCAUUGAGUAGCAUGAUUAAAUCAAACAAAAUUGGAUUUAGCAAACAAUUCAUGACACAAGAAAACUACAUAUUGCGAUCAGCCAAAGCUACUCCAGCUCAAGUCUCUCACCCUAUGCCACAAGUGUGCUGGCAGUGGUAGAUUCG